GACGAACGCUGGCGGCGUGCCUAACACAUGCAAGUCGAGCGGGGAUUAUCGAAUGAAGUUUUCGGAUGGAAUUUGGUGAUUCUAGCGGCGGACGGGUGAGUAACGCGUGAGCAACCUGCCUUUCACAGGGGGAUAACGCAUCGAAAGGUGCACUAAUACCGCAUGAGACCACGCUCCCGACAUGAGAGAGGGGUCAAAGGAGCAAUCCGGUGAGAGAUGGGCUCGCGUCUGAUUAGCUGGUUGGUGAGGUAACGGCCCACCAAGGCGACGAUCAGUAGCCGACCUGAGAGGGUGAUCGGCCACAUUGGAACUGAGAGACGGUCCAAACUCCUACGGGAGGCAGCAGUGGGGAAUAUUGGGCAAUGGGGGAAACCCUGACCCAGCAACGCCGCGUGAAGGAAGAAGGUUUUCGGAUCGUAAACUUCUAUCCUUGGUGAAAAUAGUGAUGGUAGCCAAGAAGGAAGCCCCGGCUA
rnacentral:rRNA from 1 species